rnacentral:rRNA from 1 species
AUUGAACGCUGGCGGCAGGCCUAACACAUGCAAGUCGAGCGGGGUUUUCGGACCUAGCGGCGGACGGGUGAGUAAUGCGUAGGAAGCUACCCGAUAGAGGGGGAUACCAGUUGGAAACGACUGUUAAUACCGCAUAAUGUCUACGGACCAAAGUGUGGGACCUUCGGGCCACAUGCUAUCGGAUGCGCCUACGUGGGAUUAGCUAGUUGGUGGGGUAAUGGCUCACCAAGGCGACGAUCCCUAGCUGGUUUGAGAGGAUGAUCAGCCACACUGGAACUGAGACACGGUCCAGAUUCCUACGGGAGGCAGCAGUGGGGAAUAUUGGACAAUGGGCGCAAGCCUGAUCCAGCCAUGCCGCGUGUGUGAAGAAGGCCUUCGGGUUGUAAAGCACUUUCAGUAGGGAGGAAGGGUGUUGUGUUAAUAGCACAGCAUUUUGACGUUACCUACAGAAGAAGCACCGGCUAACUCUGUGCCAGCCGCCGCCGUAAAAC